CAGUGGUGGAAAAAGUUGCCAUGAAUGUAGAAAGCUUUCGCCCCACUGUCACUACAAUCAUGGAUCCAGUAUUUGUUUCUAUUCAAAAUUUACUCAUCAAAACGAAAUCUAUGAGUGUGCUGAGAGAUGGUUUGCUAUGGAUCCCUUUAUGUCAUUUUACGUGGCUACCUUCUUCGUCCUUCUCUUUUCUUUCGGGUUCGGCCUCUAUUUCGGUUGCCUCUACUAUUUGAAUGUAUUUGUGGUUCCGGCCAUUCCACGUCGAGAAGUGGACUCACUUCGAAAUCACGUGGACUUGAUCAGAGAAAGACGCAGAA